AAUAAUGGUCGAGGAAGUCUGUAAUGGCCCGAGGCAACGCCGAGGGCCAUUACAGACAUCCGAGGCCAUUAUUACUGACCGAGGACAUAUAACAGGGCCAUUAUAAAAACACCCAUUUCUUAAUACAUUUAUUAACCAACUGAACAAAAGUAUAUGUGUUGCUACCAACUUGAUGUACUCUCUUACUCUUUUAAUGACAGUUUAGUUUGAAAAAAAUAAUUUGUACUUCAUCAUGAUAAAGCUUUAAAUAUACCAAAUAUCCAAAUAAAGUUGAAAGAAGUUAUGUGUUGAAAAACAGGAUGAACAGUGAUCCCUUUAUAUGGUUCUUUAAUGUUAGUUGCUGGUUACUAAAUAAAAUAAAAUACAAAAAUGUAUUAUACUCUUUACAACUUAAUUUUAUUAACUUUAUUAAAAAAAACCUAACUGGGCUUAAUACAGACAAACUGGGCAUUAAUACAGGGCCAUUACAAAAAACCAGAGCCAUUACAGAAAAACAGGGCCAUUUCAGAAAAAAACAGGGCCAUUACAGAAAAACAGGGCUAUUACAGAAAAUAUGUAAUUUUUUAAUAAAUAGUCAUUUUUGGCAAUAAUGUACUUAGUUGGUUAAUAAAUACAUAUAACUUAA
rnacentral:lncRNA from 1 species